CAUCGGAUCUUUGAACGCAACUGGCGCUGAUCAAAUCAGCAUACUUGUUUCAGUGUGCGCAACCAACUAAACCAAAUCUAAAUGUGAGAGAAGUUCUCUCAUGAAAUAAAUGCUCCCUGCAGCAGUCACAUUUACUUGUGAGCUGUGCGGAAGAAAACUGCCUUAAUUGCACCUGAAAUCAAGUAAGAUGACCCGCUGGACUUAAGCAUAUUACUAAGCGGAGGAGAAGGAAUUAACAAAGAUUGCCUUAGUAAGGGCGACUGAACCGGCAAGAGCUCAAAAUUGGAAUCGGGAAUUCAAAGAAUUUCUGAAUUGUAAUCAGGUCCGCCGAAAUACGAGAAAGCGCUUAAGCAUGUCGAAACGUGCGCCGUGGAGGGUGAAAGCCCCGUGUAGCGUUUUCUCGAAACAGGGGGAUUCCACAAGAGUCGGGUUGCUUGGAACUGCAGCCCUAAGUGGGAGAUAUGAAUCUUCCAAAGCUAAAUAUGGAUGGGAGACCGAUAGCAAACAAGUACUGUGAAGGAAAGAUGAAAAGGACUUUGAAAAGAGAGUGAAAAGAUCUGAAAUCGUUGAGAAGGAAGCGGUAGAAACUGAUGGUCGUGCCUGAUGGUUAUCGCGGUGUCUC
rnacentral:rRNA from 1 species